rnacentral:rRNA from 1 species
UACGUAGGGUGCAAGCGUUAAUCGGAAUUACUGGGCGUAAAGCGUGCGCAGGCGGUUGUGCAAGACAGAUGUGAAAUCCCCGGGCUUAACCUGGGAAUUGCAUUUGUGACUGCACGGCUAGGAUCUGGCAGAGGGGGGUAGAAUUCCACGUGUAGCAGUGAAAUGCGUAGAGAUGUGGAGGAAUACCGAUGGCGAAGGCAGCCCCCUGGGCUAAGAUUGACGCUCAUGCACGAAAGCGUGGGGAGCAAACAGG